AUAAAGGAAUUGGGAAAAGAGGAGAGGAAAGGAGACAGACUCUGAGAAAGGGAGAACACGUGAAGUGAGAAGAGCCAAAGGGGAAGAAGAUCUUCGAAGAUUCGACUCUGAGAUUAAGGAUGUAGCGGCGUCUUGAUUGGGUGAAGAUAGCUUGUAAGCUAGCCCGUAGUUCGUGUCGAGUCAUGCUCUGAUUGUAACACUGGGGAACGAUAGUUUAGAGACGAAUGAUUAUGUCGGUCUUGUUGUUUUAUGAUUGUUUUAUAAUAACUUGCAUGGAUAAUGAAUAUGCAAUGUUAUGGAUUAUUGUCCGCUGUGUUGAACAUGAAUUGUAAUUAUGUUAAGUGGUUCCUCGUGUAGCAUGACAAAUGACUAUGGUAUUUUUCUGUUAAAGAAGUUGUGACAUCCUUGUAUUUCA